AGGUUAAGUGAAUAAGGGCGCACGGUGGAUGCCUUGGCACUAGGAGCCGAUGAAGGACGGGACUAACACCGAUAUGCUUUGGGGAGCUGUAAGUAAGCUAUGAUCCAGAGAUUUCCGAAUGGGGGAACCCAAUAUCUUUUAUAGGAUAUUACUUUUCAGUGAAUACAUAGCUGAUUAGAGGUAGACGCAGAGAACUGAAACAUCUUAGUACCUGCAGGAAGAGAAAGAAAAUUCGAUUCCCUGAGUAGCGGCGAGCGAAACGGGAAGAGCCCAAACCAACAAGCUUGCUUGUUGGGGUUGUAGGACUCCAACAUGGUAGUCUGUUAGUAUAGUUGAAGGAUUUGGAAAAUUCCGCUAAAGAGGGUGAAAGCCCCGUAGACGAAAUGCUGACAACACCUAGGAGGAUCCUGAGUACGGCGGAACACGAGAAAUUCCGUCGGAAUCCGCGGGGACCAUCCCGCAAGGCUAAAUACUCCCUAGUGACCGAUAGUGAACCAGUACCGUGAGGGAAAGGUGAAAAGCACCCCGGAAGGGGAGUGAAAUAGAUCCUGAAACCGUGUGCCUACAACAAGUCAAAGCUCGUUAAUGAGUGAUGGCGUGCCUUUUGUAGAAUGAACCGGCGAGUUACGAUUGCAUGCGAGGUUAAGUCGAAGAGACGGAGCCGCAGCGAAAGCGAGUCUGAAUAGGGCGAAUGAGUAUGUAGUCGUAGACCCGAAACCAUGUGAUCUACCCAUGUCCAGGUUGAAGGUGCGGUAAAACGCACUGGAGGACCGAACCCACGUACGUUGAAAAGUGCGGGGAUGAGGUGUGGGUAGCGGAGAAAUUCCAAACGAACUUGGAGAUAGCUGGUUCUCUCCGAAAUAGCUUUAGGGCUAGCCUCGGAAUUGAGAAUGAUGGAGGUAGAGCACUGUUUGGACUAGGGGCCCAUCUCGGGUUACCGAAUUCAGAUAAACUCCGAAUGCCAUUCAUUUAUAUCCGGGAGUCAGACUGCGAGUGAUAAGAUCCGUAGUCGAAAGGGAAACAGCCCAGACCACCAGCUAAGGUCCCAAAAUAUAUGUUAAGUGGAAAAGGAUGUGGGGUUGCACAGACAACUAGGAUGUUGGCUUAGAAGCAGCCACCAUUUAAAGAGUGCGUAAUAGCUCACUAGUCGAGUGACCCUGCGCCGAAAAUGUACCGGGGCUAAACAUAUUACCGAAGCUGUGGACUACACCAUUAGGUGUAGUGGUAGGAGAGCGUUCUAAGGGCGUUGAAGGUCGAUCGUGAGGACGGCUGGAGCGCUUAGAAGUGAGAAUGCCGGUAUGAGUAGCGAAAGACAGGUGAGAAUCCUGUCCACCGUAUGACUAAGGUUUCCUGGGGAAGGCUCGUCCGCCCAGGGUUAGUCGGGACCUAAGCCGAGGCCGAUAGGCGUAGGCGAUGGACAACAGGUUGAUAUUCCUGUACCAGUUGUUUUUGUUUGAGCAAUGGAGGGACGCAGUAGGCUAAGGAAUGCAUGCGAUUGGAAGUGCAUGUCCAAGCAAUGAGUCUUGAGUAGAGUUAAAUGCUUUACUCUCUAAGGACAAGUUGUGACGGGGAGCGAAAUAAUAGUAGCGAAGUUCCUGAUGUCACACUGCCAAGAAAAGCUUCUAGUGAGAAAACAACUGCCCGUACCGUAAACCGACACAGGUAGUCGAGGAGAGUAUCCUAAGGUGAGCGAGCGAACUCUCGUUAAGGAACUCGGCAAAAUGACCCCGUAACUUCGGGAGAAGGGGUGCUGACUUCGGUCAGCCGCAGUGAAUAGGCCCAAGCGACUGUUUAUCAAAAACACAGGUCUCUGCAAAAUCGUAAGAUGAAGUAUAGGGGCUGACGCCUGCCCGGUGCUGGAAGGUUAAGAGGAUGGGUUAGCUUCGGCGAAGCUCAGAAUUGAAGCCCCAGUAAACGGCGGCCGUAACUAUAACGGUCCUAAGGUAGCGAAAUUCCUUGUCGGGUAAGUUCCGACCCGCACGAAAGGCGUAACGAUUUGGGCACUGUCUCAACGAGAGACUCGGUGAAAUUUUAGUACCUGUGAAGAUGCAGGUUACCCGCGACAGGACGGAAAGACCCCAUGGAGCUUUACUGUAGUUUGAUAUUGAGUGUUUGUACCACAUGUACAGGAUAGGUAGGAGCCGAUGAGACCGGAACGCUAGUUUCGGAGGAGGCGCUGGUGGGAUACUACCCUUGUGUUAUGAACCCUCUAACCCGCACCACUAAUCGUGGUGGGAGACAGUGUCAGAUGGGCAGUUUGACUGGGGCGGUCGCCUCCUAAAAGGUAACGGAGGCGCCCAAAGGUUCCCUCAGAAUGGUUGGAAAUCAUUCGAAGAGUGUAAAGGCAGAAGGGAGCUUGACUGCGAGACCUACAAGUCGAGCAGGGACGAAAGUCGGGCUUAGUGAUCCGGUGGUUCCGCAUGGAAGGGCCAUCGCUCAACGGAUAAAAGCUACCCUGGGGAUAACAGGCUUAUCUCCCCCAAGAGUCCACAUCGACGGGGAGGUUUGGCACCUCGAUGUCGGCUCGUCGCAUCCUGGGGCUGUAGUCGGUCCCAAGGGUUGGGCUGUUCGCCCAUUAAAGCGGCACGCGAGCUGGGUUCAGAACGUCGUGAGACAGUUCGGUCCCUAUCCGUCGCGGGCGUUGGAAAUUUGAGAGGAGCUGUCCUUAGUACGAGAGGACCGGGAUGGACUUACCGCUGGUGUACCAGUUGUUCUGCCAAGGGCAUUGCUGGGUAGCUAUGUAGGGAAGGGAUAAACGCUGAAAGCAUCUAAGUGUGAAGCCCACCUCAAGAUGAGAUUUCCCAUUUCUUUAAGAAAGUAAGACCCCUGAGAGAUGAUCAGGUAGAUAGGUUGGAAGUGGAAGGCUAGUGAUAGUUGGAGCGGACCAAUACUAAUCGGUCGAGGACUUAACCAAA
rnacentral:rRNA from 1 species